UACAGAGGUCUCAAGCGUUGUUCGGAUUCAUUGGGCGUAAAGGGUGCGUAGGUGGCGGGGUAAGUCAGGUGUGAAAUCUCGGAGCUCAACUCCGAAACUGCACUUGAUACUGCCUUGCUUGAGUACUGGAGAGGAGAUUGGAAUUUACGGUGUAGCAGUGAAAUGCGUAGAUAUCGUAAGGAAGACCAGUGGCGAAGGCGAAUCUCUGGACAGUUUACUGACACUGAGGCACGAAGGCCAGGGGAGCAAACGGGG
rnacentral:rRNA from 1 species